rnacentral:lncRNA from 1 species
AGCAACAGAAUACGAGCAGUAACACUAAGUUCUUGCUAUUUAAACUUGUUUUAGAUUGGCUCAUGAAAGUUGGGAAACUGUGCAAUCCUUUCACAUGGUGCGCUAAUGGAAAGGUCAAAGACCUUUGGAACAAGAAAAUAAUAUGAAAGGAAAAAAAAAACACCCUCUUUUUGGGCUUGAGAAACUGCUUCUGAAUACAGGAAUUGCUCGUUCAUAAUUUUUGUGGUACAGUUCUACCAAGCACUGUGCUGCAAGAAGGAAAAAAGGCUGAAAGGAUUACAGACUAAAACUCAAACUAUGUAAAUCAUUGAUCUGAGUGUUAUAAUUCCUUGCUGAUGUGAGUAAGGGCAGCAUCUUUGUAACAGCUGAUGAUGAAAUUCAUUGCCAAAGAUUGAGACCACAGAAAUAUGUGGGCUAGAUGUUCAACCUCCCAAGCCACCGGCCGUGUGUCCAGUUUGGGACUGCGUCACUAUGCUCUGCAGCAGUGGGAAGAAACUAAUUUGUCAGCCAGCUGGUGAAAGAGGAAAAAUCAUGCAAAGCUGAAAACAGAGACAUUAGAAAAAUACAGUUUGUGCAGAAAUUUACAAAAAGUUUG